rnacentral:rRNA from 2 species
UUAAGUGACUAAGCGUACACGGUGGAUGCCCUGGCAGUCAGAGGCGAUGAAGGACGUGCUAAUCUGCGAUAAGCGUCGGUAAGGUGAUAUGAACCGUUAUAACCGGCGAUUUCCGAAUGGGGAAACCCAGUGUGUUUCGACACACUAUCAUUAACUGAAUCCAUAGGUUAAUGAGGCGAACCGGGGGAACUGAAACAUCUAAGUACCCCGAGGAAAAGAAAUCAACCGAGAUUCCCCCAGUAGCGGCGAGCGAACGGGGAGGAGCCCAGAGCCUGAAUCAGUGUGUGUGUUAGUGGAAGCGUCUGGAAAGGCGCGCGAUACAGGGUGACAGCCCCGUACACAAAAAUGCACAUACUGUGAGCUCGAUGAGUAGGGCGGGACACGUGGUAUCCUGUCUGAAUAUGGGGGGACCAUCCUCCAAGGCUAAAUACUCCUGACUGACCGAUAGUGAACCAGUACCGUGAGGGAAAGGCGAAAAGAACCCCGGCGAGGGGAGUGAAAAAGAACCUGAAACCGUGUACGUACAAGCAGUGGGAGCCUCUUUAUGGGGUGACUGCGUACCUUUUGUAUAAUGGGUCAGCGACUUAUAUUCUGUAGCAAGGUUAACCGAAUAGGGGAGCCGAAGGGAAACCGAGUCUUAACUGGGCGUUAAGUUGCAGGGUAUAGACCCGAAACCCGGUGAUCUAGCCAUGGGCAGGUUGAAGGUUGGGUAACACUAACUGGAGGACCGAACCGACUAAUGUUGAAAAAUUAGCGGAUGACUUGUGGCUGGGGGUGAAAGGCCAAUCAAACCGGGAGAUAGCUGGUUCUCCCCGAAAGCUAUUUAGGUAGCGCCUCGUGAAUUCAUCUCCGGGGGUAGAGCACUGUUUCGGCAAGGGGGUCAUCCCGACUUACCAACCCGAUGCAAACUGCGAAUACCGGAGAAUGUUAUUACGGGAGACACACGGCGGGUGCUAACGUCCGUCGUGAAGAGGGAAACAACCCAGACCGCCAGCUAAGGUCCCAAAGUCAUGGUUAAGUGGGAAACGAUGUGGGAAGGCCCAGACAGCCAGGAUGUUGGCUUAGAAGCAGCCAUCAUUUAAAGAAAGCGUAAUAGCUCACUGGUCGAGUCGGCCUGCGCGGAAGAUGUAACGGGGCUAAACCAUGCACCGAAGCUGCGGCAGCGACACUAUGUGUUGUUGGGUAGGGGAGCGUUCUGUAAGCCUGUGAAGGUGUGCUGUGAGGCAUGCUGGAGGUAUCAGAAGUGCGAAUGCUGACAUAAGUAACGAUAAAGCGGGUGAAAAGCCCGCUCGCCGGAAGACCAAGGGUUCCUGUCCAACGUUAAUCGGGGCAGGGUGAGUCGACCCCUAAGGCGAGGCCGAAAGGCGUAGUCGAUGGGAAACAGGUUAAUAUUCCUGUACUUGGUGUUACUGCGAAGGGGGGACGGAGAAGGCUAUGUUGGCCGGGCGACGGUUGUCCCGGUUUAAGCGUGUAGGCUGGUUUUCCAGGCAAAUCCGGAAAAUCAAGGCUGAGGCGUGAUGACGAGGCACUACGGUGCUGAAGCAACAAAUGCCCUGCUUCCAGGAAAAGCCUCUAAGCAUCAGGUAACAUCAAAUCGUACCCCAAACCGACACAGGUGGUCAGGUAGAGAAUACCAAGGCGCUUGAGAGAACUCGGGUGAAGGAACUAGGCAAAAUGGUGCCGUAACUUCGGGAGAAGGCACGCUGAUAUGUAGGUGAAGCGACUUGCUCGUGGAGCUGAAAUCAGUCGAAGAUACCAGCUGGCUGCAACUGUUUAUUAAAAACACAGCACUGUGCAAACACGAAAGUGGACGUAUACGGUGUGACGCCUGCCCGGUGCCGGAAGGUUAAUUGAUGGGGUUAGCGGUAACGCGAAGCUCUUGAUCGAAGCCCCGGUAAACGGCGGCCGUAACUAUAACGGUCCUAAGGUAGCGAAAUUCCUUGUCGGGUAAGUUCCGACCUGCACGAAUGGCGUAAUGAUGGCCAGGCUGUCUCCACCCGAGACUCAGUGAAAUUGAACUCGCUGUGAAGAUGCAGUGUACCCGCGGCAAGACGGAAAGACCCCGUGAACCUUUACUAUAGCUUGACACUGAACAUUGAGCCUUGAUGUGUAGGAUAGGUGGGAGGCUUUGAAGUGUGGACGCCAGUCUGCAUGGAGCCGACCUUGAAAUACCACCCUUUAAUGUUUGAUGUUCUAACGUUGGCCCCUGAUCGGGGUUGCGGACAGUGUCUGGUGGGUAGUUUGACUGGGGCGGUCUCCUCCUAAAGAGUAACGGAGGAGCACGAAGGUUGGCUAAUCCUGGUCGGACAUCAGGAGGUUAGUGCAAUGGCAUAAGCCAGCUUGACUGCGAGCGUGACGGCGCGAGCAGGUGCGAAAGCAGGUCAUAGUGAUCCGGUGGUUCUGAAUGGAAGGGCCAUCGCUCAACGGAUAAAAGGUACUCCGGGGAUAACAGGCUGAUACCGCCCAAGAGUUCAUAUCGACGGCGGUGUUUGGCACCUCGAUGUCGGCUCAUCACAUCCUGGGGCUGAAGUAGGUCCCAAGGGUAUGGCUGUUCGCCAUUUAAAGUGGUACGCGAGCUGGGUUUAGAACGUCGUGAGACAGUUCGGUCCCUAUCUGCCGUGGGCGCUGGAGAACUGAGGGGGGCUGCUCCUAGUACGAGAGGACCGGAGUGGACGCAUCACUGGUGUUCGGGUUGUCAUGCCAAUGGCACUGCCCGGUAGCUAAAUGCGGAAGAGAUAAGUGCUGAAAGCAUCUAAGCACGAAACUUGCCCCGAGAUGAGUUCUCCCUGAGACUUAGAGUCUCCUGAAGGAACGUUGAAGACGACGACGUUGAUAGGCCGGGUGUGUAAGCGCAGCGAUGCGUUGAGCUAACCGGUACUAAUGAACCGUGAGGCUUAACCUU